UAGGGAAUUUUCCGCAAUGGGCGAAAGCCUGACGGAGCAACGCCGCGUGCAGGAGGAAGGCCUUCGGGUUGUAAACUGCUUUUAAUGGGGACGAUUUUGACGGUACCCAUAGAAUAAGGAUCGGCUAAUUCCGUGCCAGCAGCCGCGGUCAUACGGAAGAUCCGAGCGUUAUCCGGAAUUACUGGGCGUAAAGAGUUGCGUAGGUGGCAUAGAAAGCGAGCAGUGAAAGAUCCCGGCUCAACCGGGGGUACAUUGUUCGAACUCCUAAGCUUGAGCAUGAGAGAGGUAGAUGGAAUUUCUAGUGUAGGAGUGAAAUCCGUAGAUAUUAGAAGGAACACCGAUGGCGUAGGCAGUCUACUGGCUCAUUGCUGACACUAAGGCACGAAAGCGUGGGGAGCGAACGGGAUUAGAUACCCGCGUAGUCC
rnacentral:rRNA from 1 species